AGACCAAUCGUGCAUAUCUUUUGCCUAGCAUUUUCAAACUGCAUUAGAAGAGGAUGGACAGGUACACGGUUCGCAUCUACGGUCUAGCGUUGCUACUGUGUCUCCAUCUCCUAUGCUCCGCACCUACUGCGCAAUGUUUGAUCAUCGAAGAAGACAUGGAUAACGAGAAGAUCAAUUUACCGUAUGGGCUUUGCGUCAACGAGAAAGAUGCAAAGAUGGAUGGCUUUGUUUGUGUUGUCUCGCGAAUCUAGAGUGCUACCCGUCCAUGGAGGCGUGCAAGAAAGACUGUCUGAAACCCUCUGACAUGGUGUCGAUGACAAUGACCCGUUCUCCUUUACGUGCCCCCUCUCCCGCAUCUUCAUUAGGUUCAAUUUAAAUUACCUAUAUUUUGCCUGGGACUUAAUGGAUAUUGUGUUAAAAAAUAAAUUGGGAUAUAAGUACCUAAUACAUUAGUUGUUGCAGUUGAUUUGACAUGUUGCAUCAAUCUUCUUUUCUUUGCUACCAAAUAUUGCCGGUAACUCAGUUUUUCAACUACUCAACACCCGACGAGGAUGCCCGGUCACUUUACACUACAAGUUUGGUGGUCAUACUCAAGAUAAAGAAUGUUGAUUA